AGAUUGCGCCAGUGCCCUCCAGCCUGGGCGACAGAGUGAGAUUCUGUCCCCCCUCCCCCCCCCAAAAAAAGAUCAGUGAGAGUUUAGUGUAACUUACCAGUACAAGUGAGAAACAGAAUUUCAUAAGAUAUGACAGCAAUGUAGAUUUUCAUCUUGUGGUCUUAUAUAGGACGUAUUUAUAAAUAUUGUUGAAUAAGUACUCCCCAAAUUACUUUUUCUGUAUUCACCAUCAGGUCACAUAGUAGAGUAGUUCAUUAAUUUCUUGUUGUUUUCCGUUUUGCAGUUAAUGUUCACAUAAAGAAGAAACCGUCAUGUGACACCAGUACCUCCUAAAAUUGGUCAGUGUGGUUAGAUGGUUUAGAGGAAAAAGGAACCUGUUCCACAGGGCUGUGACUGACCAUUUUGGGCUGCCAUGGAGGGAAGCACAUUGAAAGAUGUAGAUCCCCUCAGAGAAGUUUUCCAUUUCCCUGAAAUUAAAGAUCUUCAGAUGACUGCAAAUAACAUGAGGAUAUGUAGAAAAACGCCCUUCCCCAGUUUCCAAAUCGUGAAAAUUUGGCUCAGCAGAUACUACAUAUUUCUGUUUGUAGUUGUUUAUAAAACAAUAAAGACAUACCUUUUAAAAUCAAUCACAGUCCUUAGAUAAAUUCCUCCCAUUCUUCCUCCCCAGACUCCUGUCCAUUCAGAGUUAUGUCUCUGAAUUCAAAUUUAAUAAAACACUGAGUUCCCCUCAGAAGUAAAUAGUGCAUUUCCUAGGAGUGUCAUUGCCAAUUGCAAAGGCAGAGCAGUAGUUUUCAGUGUUGCAACACAGAGCCUGCAGCAAUCUGGAGGCUGUGGCUGUGAUUUCAGUCUUUGGGGGACAGUUAGGAAAGUAAAGCUGAGGCCAAAGAUAAAUGACACGUAGAAAGAAACAGAGGACUGUCCAGAUCUCAUAGGAGGAAGGGAGCGGUCCUGAGAGACCAGAGCUAGGCAGGCAGCUGUCGCUGAGAAUGGAACUUAGUGAUCUGCCUUGGGGCCAGAGUGCUCGGUGAGAACUCAGAGGACUCGGAAACAGGCUUGAUAGCAGUAUGACUUUUAAUGCUAAUCUCUGCCUUCUGGUGAUUUCCUGACCUAGUCCAGCACUUUAGAGCACUCUAGGGUUUGAUCUCAUUAAUAACUUGGAAAUGCAGCCAUCUUUUUGUUAGAAAGAAAUUAUUAUGUAUCCAGAAAGAAAGCAGGUUGGAAAACACUAGUGUUUCCACGUCUUUGAUAGAUUUGAGUUCGGGGAAUCAUCUCAUUGGCUCCUUUUCAGCCACAUGUGCCUGCCUUCGCAUCCCCACCCCACCCCAGCCCACCCCACCCCGUGAGGUUAAUGCUUCACACAGAAGGAUGGUAGAACGAAGUGGGGCAGUUUCAAUGAAAGGGAGCAUUAAGCAGAGCUCUGCCUCUUUCCUUUGUGUACGUAUCUGGUAGAACAUAACUUAAUGGAUUGUGCCUCCUCCUUCCCUCAGUGUACUCCCAUGAAGUCCCUAAAGAAUAAGUUUAUCCCGUAGCAAUCUAUGGUAUGGUGUCAUAUUGGGAGUCUUGAGCCGAAAAGCACUUUCUCACGGUGUAUUGAUGUAAGAGCUUCCAGCUGUCCAGAGCGCAAGAGCCAGCGCCAUUCCCCAGAGGGUUGCUAUGGGAACACUGUUAUGGCAACUGGUUUUCAUCACAGACUCUGCAGUUCCAUUGGCUGAACCAUAAGUACACGCUAGUCCUUUAAUAGUUAACAGUAACCUUAAAAUCAUUUGAAAUUUAAAAAUAAUUUCUGGUGGUGUGGAAUAGCUAGGGAGGGCAGUGUGGCCAGCCGCGCAGCUGUGGUGUGAGUUGACCCCAUUCAGAAUGUUAGAAACGUGCUCAUUUAAAAAAACGAUGUAUUUUUACGUUGACCAGAACAAUUUAUCAUGAAAGCACUGAUUAUUUAUUUUCCCCCAUUGUAAACUUUAUACAGCUUGCUUAAACGAAUCCUCGUGUUGCCUCUAAUGGUCACUCUCACUGGCCACUUCCUUCUGAGUCUCUUCUUCCCUGUCUGUAAGCAUCAACUUCCUCAACUUUUUCUCACAGUGUUCAAGCUUAACACAUAAUUUUACCGACGAGAGCAGCUGAGAAGUUUCGAGCUGCCUUUUAGUGAUCUCAGACUCAUUCACUGAGCUUCAGACCGGGACAGUCAAGAGUCACUCCUGCAACCGCCGUCCUGGCCUUUCUCAACUCCCAGUUUUACAACUUGCCAAAACUAAAUUGCCCUUGUUGUCAACUGCUUUUCCUUUCAGACUUAGGUGAUGUUAGGACCCAUGAGCGUUGCAGUUUGAGCCUGCCUUUCUAAGUUUGGCCAUCCUAGGAAGUAGAAGUGUAAAAGAUGUAGAAUUUGAAACUUUUGGACCACAACUCAAAACAAGUACAUGGAGACCCAGUAUUACAUGUACACAGGCACAUCUACCUGAAACAAAGCCUCCGGCCGUACCUUAUGCAAGGCGCAUUCUUAUGUUUUCUAAUCUGUUGUGUUUCUUUUUAAAAAUAUGCUGGUGGUUAUCCUCAGAAUUGGUUGACAGGUCAUUCAUGUAUGGUGGUCAGCAGUUUGAAAACCACUGAUCUUUUUUUUUUAAAUUUCAAACUUUUAUGUUAAUUUCAGGGGUACAUGUGCAGGAUGUGUGGAUUUAUUAUAUAGGUAAACAUAUACCAUGGUGGUUUGCUGCACAGAUCAUCCCAUUACCCAGGUAUGAAGCCCGGCAUCCACUAGCUAUUCUUCCUGAUCCUCUCCCUCCUCCCACCUGCCAUCCUCCAACAGGCCCCAGUUGUGUUGUUUCCCCUGAGUGUCCAUGUGUUCUCAUUGUUCAGCUCCUACUUACAGGUGAGAACGUGUGGUAUUUGCUUUGCUGUUUCUGCUUUAGUUUGAUAAUGGCCUCCAGUUCCAUCCAAGUCCCUGCAAAGAACAUGAUCUCAUUCCUUUUUACGGCUGUGUAGUAUUCCAUGGUGUAUAUGCACCCCAUUUUCUUCAAUGAUAUCCAGUCUAUCAUUGGUGGGCAUUUGGGUUGAUUCCAUGUCUUUGCUAUUGUGAAUUGUGUUGCAGUGAACAUACACGUGCAUGUGUCUUUAUAAUAGAGUGAUUUAUAUUCUUUUGGUUGUAUAACCGGGAAUGGGGUUGUUGGAUUAAAUGGUAUUUCUGUCUCUAGGUCUUUGAAGAAUUGCCACACUGUCUUCCACAAUGGUUAAACUAAUUUACACUCCCACCAAUAGUAUAAAAGCGUUCCUUUCUUCUCUGCAACCUCGCCAACGUCUAUCACUUUUUAAUUCUUUGAUGAUAGCCAUUCUGACUGGUGUGAGAUGGUAGCUCAUUGUGGUUUUGAUUUGCGUUUCUGUAAUAAUCGGUGAUGUUGAGCUUUUUUUCUUACGUUUGUUGGCUGCAUGUAUGUCUUUUGUGAAGUGUCUGUUCAUGUCCUUUGCCCACUUUUUAAUGGAGUUGUUUGAAAAACCACUGAUUAAAGCAAUUAUCAGUAGAAUUAAAGAAGGAAAUGACCUGUUAGAUGAAUCUGGGACAAAAGGACUAUAGUUCUUUUUUGAUUUUUUUUUAAUAUGGAGAUAACACUCUCAAGGUUAGUGUGAAAUUUAGCAGAUUAUAGAACCUUAAGUACUUCAAAAUGCUCAAUACUUCUGCAGUAAUAUGUAAUUCUUAAGUUUAAAAUGAGGAGACGUCCAUGGAAGAAUUGAGCAAAGCAACUCGUAAGCCAUCUGUUAGAAAAUUGGCAGUAUGUAUAGGUGAUCACCUUGGGUUGGUUGCACAUUGUUGGAUAAAGCAAGAUUAAACGAGGUAUUACAAAAUAAAUGGGAGAUCAGUUAAAGUACAAGAUAGGUUUGGCUGGGUGUGGUGGCUCACACCUGUAAUGUCAGCACUCUGCGAAGCCAAGGUGGGCAGAUCGCUUGAGCUCAGGAGUUUGAGGCCAGCCUGGGCAACAGGGUGAGACAUCAUCUCUACAAGAAAUACAAAAAUUAGCCGGGUGUGGUGGCGCGCAAGUGUUGUCCCGGCUACUUGGGUUGAAGUGGAAGAAUUGUGUGAGCCCAGGAGGUCGAGGCUGUAGUGAGCAGUGAUCACACCGCUGCGUUCCAGCCUGAGUGACAGACUGAGACCCUGUCCCAAAAAUAAUUAAGUAAUUAAUUAAGUAUGAGAUAGGUUUGGGGCAAGAAGAGUUGCAAGGAGUCUAGUGUUAUGCAUCAAGUGUCUGUUGAGAGGACAGUGGUUUGGCCCUUUGAAAAUUAUUUCCUAAGACUCAGUGCUAAAUUACAUUUCUUUGAAUGUAAAUUUUCUUAUUGGCAGUAUAACAUACAGUAUACAUACAGAAAAUCACUAGAGUACCACAUCAUGAUAGGUUUUUCACAAAGUAAACAAAGUAACUAGCACCCAAAUCAGAAAAGGUAACUGUUAUUAACUCCCCAGAAAUCUCUUCAUGCCCUCUUCUAGUCAUAGCCAUGGUCCUAAUUUCUAACAUCAUAAUUAAAAAAAAAAUCUUUACGGACGUGUAAGUCCCAUACCAUUAGUUGUACCCAUUUAAAGUGUACAAAGGUUUUUAGUAUAUUCAGAGUUAUACAACCAUCACCACAGUCUUAGGAUGCUUUGAUCAUUCCAAAAAAAGAACCUCGUUUGCCUGUGUUUAAAAAUUUGCCUGUCUAUAAAUGGAAUCAAACAGUAUGUGCUUGACUUCUUUCACUCAGUGUAGGGGUUCUGAUACUUAUUCAUCCCCACUGUGUGUAGUUGUGGUUUUUCAGUCUUCUUGAUGCGGUCUCUCACAAUUUAUUCUACUGAUGAUGGACACGUGAGUUGUUUCUGGUUUUUGCAUGUAUGUUUUAUAUGUGUUUCUUGGUGAAUAUAAAUUUCUAUAUUUAUAUUCACAAGAAUAUAUACCAAGGUAUGAAAUUUCUGGGACAUAGGGUAUGUAUAAACUUGGCCAUUAGAGUUACUGUCAAAGAGUUUUCCAAAGGGCUUAUACCAGUUUACACAGUCCCACAGCAGGAUUUGAGAGUUGCAGUUACUCUGCCUCCUUGCCACACUUGAUAUAUCCUCUGUCAUUUUCAUUUUAGCCCUUCUGGUAGUCAGAAUGCUGUCACAUUGUGGCUUUAAUUUGCAUUUCUCUAAUGACUAAUAUAGUUGAGUACCUCCUUUAUAUGCUUAAUGGCCAUUUGGAUAUUAUCUUUUGUGAAGUUCCUGUUCAAUACUUAACUUUUGUCCAUUUUUCCCCUACUGAAUUGCCUGCUUUUUUCUCACUGAUUUGAUACUUUCUGAUUUGAAUACUUUCUGUAUUCUGGCUAGAUAUCUGUAUUGCAAAUAAACCUCUCCCUCGGUGGCCUCCCUUUGUGCCAGGUUACUUUUUAUGCAUUGGAGAAAUAAUCUUAUGACUGACUCAGAUACUGACAUAACCUUUGCCAACUAUCUUUGCCUGAUAGAUUUUAAAAAUCAAAUCAUAUGUCAAGCUUAAAUAACAAUUCUUUCUCUUGUUCUCUUGUUUAAUGAUGUCAUCAUAGUAGCAUGUUUAAGAGUGUAAGAUUUGUGAGAAGAGGAAAUUAUGUGAAUGUUUGCCCUUUUUUUGUUAAAUGUUGUAUUGGAUUAUUUCGUUUGAGACAUGGCUACUUUUGUUUUGCUUCUUUUGUUGUGCAAGUUCAUGUUCUAUAUGUGUGGUGUAGACACUACUAGUUGCUUACCCAACUUUCAUUCUCUCUCAUUCUCUACUAACAGAGCCCUAAUUUGUUUAGAACUGUAAUAUGCACAGUUAAAACAACUUGUCCUCCCAGGACCUUUUGCAGUUAGGGUUGGUCAUGUGACGUGGUCCUGCCAAGAAGAUACAGAUACAGGCCAUCAAUGGAUUGAAUGAUGCCCGUGCGCAUGAGGAGGGCCGUCUGUUUACUCAGUCUACCAAUUCAAAUGUUAAUCUCAUCCAAAAACAUCCAAGAUACGUUUGGGAGUUUCACCAAGUAUUUGGGUACCAUAUUCCCCAGUCAAGUUGACACAAAAUUAACCAUCACAGCUGCCUUCCUCUGGGCCUCAUGUUAUAUGAGAACAGUAUUGGGUAAGCUCCCACAGUUGGAUUUCCCUUAUAUUUUGUUGAACUCAGUCCCUAAGUAAUAUAUGCAUUACUCAAACUUACUGACUUUCAAAAUCACUAAGUCAAACUUAUUGACUUUCAAAGUCACUUUCAAAAGUGACUUGUGGCAAGUGUGCCAUGGUGCUGAGGUCUUUGUUAAUUUCAACUGGAAUAAAAUCGGACUUUGCCACAUCCUCCUAAGAUAAAAUAGGUAUGAUAGCAUUUAUUUGAAUUGGUUAUGUGGAUGUUGGUACAUUGUGAUUUCAGUUACAGAAAAGCCACAGAUGGAACUGAUGUUAAAAGCACCUCAAGGACAACCAGGGACUAGAGCAGAUGCCAAAAGGAGUUCUGCCCUGUCAUCAAGAUUCUGAAUCACUCAAUUUAUUGGACAAAAGCAUUUAGCUCUGAUUCCUCUUGCAUUCUCUCUAAAUCUCCAUCAGAAUAAGAAGAGACUUUGAGAGAAUUAAACUGUCUGCUGAAUAUCUGUUACAGAUGUGAAAGAUACUUGAGAAAAUACAUGAUUGUGAUUUCAUCAUUUUGGGAAAAGCAGCUUGAUAUGCUUUGACUUGUUAUUACUACAAUUCCUUCUGAGAUAGCAACUCACGUUACGCUAACAUGGGCCAAAAAAAAUUGCUUGUGUUUUUGUCCUUUAUAGAGUUUUUUAAAAAUUAAAAAGCUACAAAUUAGUUUGUUUUAAAUAGUAUAGCAGUAGAUUUUAGAGGUCUCUUUGAGAUUUUAGAGCCUGUUCAUCCCUUAAUUAGGAAUUUCUAGCCAGGACUCAGAGAGGAUAAGGGCCCAAUUUCUGGUCAGUAGGGGUGCUGGUUGUGAGGCUGUUGUCUCAGCUCCAAACAUAUCUUCACACUCUGCUUUGUCAUGAGACUCUGCAAACCACAUCUGUCCUUUGCUGGAGAGCUUUUUGUUAGGGUCCACCAGGAUUGGACACGAGAGACUGGAACCUGGAGGCGGGAAGAAGGGAGCUCCCCCUUUCUGUUUGCUUUCUGUUUCUAACAACGAUGGCACAGCCGUGGUUCUCCAGAAGCUAAGCAGUGGCUGUUCACUCCUGGAGGAAUAGUGGGUUCCAGGGUGCAGUUUUCCACACUCGUAGAACAGCGUCAUCGCUCCACUCGAAGAUCACAGCACCAUCAGCCGGUGCCCCUCCUCAGAGGUUUGAAUCCGAGCACUGUGGAGUCCCCACAUUUCUGAGGUGCCAGUACCAGGAGAGUGGUGUCGGCUCCUGAGAGGUUUCACUCCCAGCUCCUGGAAAAGCUUCCACAUUUGAAUGAUCCCAGACUUGCCUCUGGUUCCCAGCCCUAAGUGUGGUGACUUCCUACUGCGGUUCUCUCUGUGAUACCUGAGAGUCCCCUUUUUGCCUCCCACCUCUUGACUAUCUGGUUGACGGUUGUUUUUUCAAUCAUCUCCCUUAGAAUAAUUGCUGUGGUCUUGGUUCGAGAUAGAACAGGCACCCAGGUUUUCAGCUCCUGGAAAACAGCCAUGAGACCCAGGUCCUCUUCUAUGCAAUCCCAAGCUCAGGUGAAAUUUUCCACUAGCUUUCCUCAACACAACAUAGGGAUCCCUCCCUAGAUGAUGUGAUUCACCCCCAUGGGGAUAGCUGCAAGAUUAGGGGAAACUAAUGUUUUACCUACACCCUGGUCAUAAAGACCUCUCCUUGCUCCCUCCUUCACUCCCACCCUGCUGUUCCUCAGUCUCCUCGAGACCUCUGUCCAUUCAGUCUGUUUUCUCCUACUUAAUAGCACCUUCUCAGCUUCCAUUUUCUCUUUAUAAAGUCAGUCUGGAUCCCAUUAUCAUCAUUUCAGUCACCCUCCAGUCCCUUUUGCUCUCACAUGCUUUUGUUGUCCUGCCACACCCGAUGACAGCACCCAAGCCAGAAUCAUUCCAACCUCUCUCCUCCCGUGCUCUGACAUGACGGUAACUGCUCUGGAGAAAAUUCACAAUCUAAGCGUCCGAUAUCAGCCAGAUCCUGCCUGCCAUAGCUCUCCUGAUACCUCUGCUCUCUCCUGAUCCUACCCUGCUGCCUCCUUUUCAUCUCACUUGGAGGGUGGCCUCACCUACCCUUCUCAUACAACUUGAAUAUGGAGGCAAUCUUAAGGGUCUAUUUCUACCUCCAAACCUACCAGCAUCUUGUCUUACUUGAUUUGGAGAAAAAGCUGUUCCUCCUUCUGUCAUAGGCUAAAUCUUCCACUGGCCUGCUUUCUUAUCUAUUAUGUUAUCUAAUUUACUUUCUAUUGGCCCCCUCCACUUCCAAUGUAAUUUAAGUCUUAUAAGGGCAGGGAAUUUGCAUCUGUUUUGUUUGUGCAGAUGUGAGGUGUGGGGAAAGGAAAGCUGAUGAAAAAGAAAGCUUGAAUGAUUCCAAGAGUUUUGACCUGAGCACUGGAAGGCCUAGAGUUGCCUGUAACUAAGCUGGGUGGGGCCAUUCAUGGUGAGGUUUGGAGGGGACAGUCAGGAGUUUAGUUCAAGACAUGUUAGCACAUUAGACAUCCACGUGGGGAUGUUGUGUAGGCAAUGGGAUGUGCAACUUUUAGAGAGGUCUAGGAUAUAGGGAUAAAUAUAGGUGUCAUCAUUGUAAAGAUGGCAUUUAAAGCCAUGAGACUAGAUGGGAAGUUUAAGGAGUAGUUGUCAAUAAUAAAGGGAAGGAGUCUAAGGACUGAGCCCGGGGACAUUCCAAUGUUAAGAAGCCAGGGAAGAAAAACUACCAAGGAGAUUGAAAAGGAGAGCCCUGGACUGCGAAACCAGGUGGAAAACCAGGACAAUGUGGCAUCCUGACAUCUCAGUGAAGGAAGUGUUUCAAUGAAGUGUCCCACUUCUUCACACCCCAGAAAGUGUUGCUGGCAAGUGAUAUUAAAUGAGAACAGCGAGUGAACCAUUGGAUUUGGCAUUGCAGGGAGUUGUCAUUGACCUUGGCAAGAGUGGGUUUAGUAGAGUGGGAGGGGAUGAAAACAUAAUUGGAGUGGGUUUAAGAGAAAAUGGAUAAAUGAAGGAGAAAAUAAUUAGCUUGUGAGGAUAAAAAUUUAUGAAGGUAGAAAUGUGUUUCUGAUUUAAAAAAUCAAUCUUGGUGCCAUUAUAAUCCCAUGGACUCUUGAGAUUACUCUCCACAUUGUUUUAUUCUUCCGAAUGCAGUGCAGGUUCUUCAGCUGUUGCCGAAGUAGAUACCGACUUUGCUGGGAGCAUGACUUUGUGCAAGGCAUAAAGGUUAUACCUCUGCAGCUCUUCUACUUUUUCCCUGCCAUCUCUGACCACUCAACUCAGGUAACCAAUGAGAGAUGCCCUGUUGAUCUCUUAUCCUUGGGAAUAAUUUUAAUCUCUUCCUCCUGUUUAAUGUUAGUGUCCUCCUUUCCCCAUAUAUGUGGUUGUGUGCCUGUUUGUCUCAUCCAUGAGAGUCAGCUUUUAAGAACUGGAACUAUGCACCAAAUGUGCAAUGAAAUGACUGUGUUGGAGACCCAUUGUCUGCCUGCUGGCUCUCAUCAGUGAUGACUUCACACUGCUAUAUUUAGAGAGUUUUACAUAGAGCCUUUCUGAACUGGUAUUCUGGGAAAAUAAAGAGCUGGUUGUUUGCAAUAUGUUCUACCAGGAGUGGGGUGUUCACUUUGUGUUCUCUAAUAAUCAACUGUUUGGAAUCACUUUUUUUUGGCACAGUGAAAGGGGAGCUAGAUAAACAGAUUGAUAGAUGAAGAGGUGAAAAGUAGGAAGGAGUGGGAAAGAAAUGGGAAGAGGAUCUUCCUAUCUACCAGUUGCUUUCCUGUGGUAGAGCUUAAUGAGAAGAUAAUAGGUUAAUUUACCGAGCUGUGACAUAUUUACAUGUAAAAGACUUACAUGAGGUCCCUUUCCCUUUUUUCAAGUGUAGAUGAUUUUGAGAUGACCUGGUUGCUUCCCCAAGGAGAGGGGCUUCUGGCUCUCCAAUGGGCAGUUUUUAGGGUGUAGGAAGUAGAGAACACUCUCUUGGUGGGCUUACAUCCAGAUGUGAUUCUCAGUGGAUUGUUUUCCUUUUUGGCAGCAUCAACUGGCUCUAGCGGCCAAGGCUUCUGCAAGGCUUCCCAUCCAGGAGCUUUUCAUCCAGGGAUGCUAUUGGAGGCCAGACUUCCAGUUUUGCUAGGAAGAGAUACCUAUUAAGUUAGGGGGCCAGGGAUUUGAUUGCAGCAGUCGCUAUUCAAGUCAGCCAGUCAUCAUUUCAUCCAUAAGUCAGGGACUCUGUACUUGCAGUCCCAGUAGGCACUUGCUCUGGUGAUGUGAUUUAGAGAGUCGGUGGCAGGGUUUGAGCUGCUGUGCGAGCAAAGAGGGUUAAUUUAGUCACAGAGAGCCUGAGCAGCCUGUGAGAGUGACCCUCUGCAUCCUACAUGGAACGAGGGACAACAUGGAGAGACUAAAGAUGAUCCCUCAAAGCCUAGCUUCCUUCAUUGCUCCUUCUGCUGUGGACUGUCCUGUGGGGACAGUACACAUGCUGGAACAUAUCACAACAUGGGCAGCUGUUUGCAGUGAACAGUGAUGCAAAAGCUGAGAUAGUAUCCUCAUAAAGACCUCUAACCUCAAGUCUUUUUUUGUAGUAGGAGGAAUACAUAAUUUAGACAAUAUUAUCUUGUACAGUUAACAAAAGGAAACUAGAGUAAGAGGGAAUUUGCCUCUGCUGAACAAACCAAGCUUCUCUAUAUCAUCUAGCAAGGCCAUAAAAAUACUAUCUACAGAUUGACUUUAGUAAAGGAGCCCACUGAGGACACAAGCACCUGAAUUACAGAUUCCCGGAGCACACACAGGCAUUUAUUGCUGACAGACAAAGAAACAAAAUCUCCAGGAGGCAACUGGGAUCUUUUCAUUUUGAAAAUGCUUUAAUAAGUGUUGACAACACUGUUUUGCAAAAUGUAAAGGUACUAUACAAAUUCUUAAUACAAAAAGAAUAAAUUAAAAGCAGAUUUCUUUUUUAAUUCUGCAACUUUGUCUACAACGUACAUCUUUUUCAUUGUUUACAGUUGAACAGAAUCCAGUAAAAUCAUUUUACAUGCUCUACAGUCAGUUUCAGGAGCAACCUAAUCUUUUUUCCCCCAUUAUUAAACUAGACUCCAUUUUACACAACUUGUAAUAAACUAUUGACAUUAAUGUAUAUGUAAAACUUUACACCUAGUUAACUAAGCAGUAACUGGUCAUCUGAUAGCACCUGGAUGGGGUUUGCUAUAUUUAGAACUAAACUAAUACUGAAUGAAAACAAAUUGGAAUUUUAACAGUUUCAACACUCACCUGCAUAUAAUAAAAUAAAAAAUCAACCUGGCUCA